rnacentral:rRNA from 1 species
ACGAACGCUGGCGGCGUGCUUAACACAUGCAAGUCGAACGAUGAAGCGCCAGCUUGCUGGUGUGGAUUAGUGGCGAACGGGUGAGUAACACGUGAGUAACCUGCCCCCUACUCUGGGAUAAGCCUGGGAAACUGGGUCUAAUACUGGAUAUGACCAAUCACUGCAUGGUGUGUUGGUGGAAAGAUUUUUUGGUGGGGGAUGGACUCGCGGCCUAUCAGCUUGUUGGUGGGGUAAUGGCCUACCAAGGCGACGACGGGUAGCCGGCCUGAGAGGGCGACCGGCCACACUGGGACUGAGACACGGCCCAGACUCCUACGGGAGGCAGCAGUGGGGAAUAUUGCACAAUGGGCGAAAGCCUGAUGCAGCGACGCCGCGUGAGGGAUGACGGCCUUCGGGUUGUAAACCUCUUUCACCAGGGACGAAGCUAACGUGACGGUACCUGGAGAAGAAGCACCGGCUAACUACGUG